rnacentral:rRNA from 1 species
UGGGGAAUUUUGGACAAUGGGCGCAAGCCUGAUCCAGCCAUGCCGCGUGAGUGAAGAAGGCCUUCGGGUUGUAAAGCUCUUUCGGUGGGGAAGAAAUGGUUCGUGCUAAUACCACGAACUGAUGACGGUACCCGAAGAAGAAGCACCGGCUAACUACGUGCCAGCAGCCGCGGUAAUACGUAGGGUGCAGGCGUUAAUCGGAAUUACUGGGCGUAAAGCGUACGCAGGCGGUUUGCUAAGACAGGUGUGAAAUCCCCGGGCUUAACCUGGGAACUGCGCUUGUUACUGGCAAGCUAGAGUGUGGCAGAGGGGGGUAGAAUUCCAGGUGUAGCAGUGAAAUGCGUAGAUAUCUGGAGGAAUACCGAUGGCGAAGGCAGCCCCCUGGGUUAACACUGACGCUCAUGUACGAAAGCGUGGGGAGCAAACAGG